GAUCCUGACUCAGGAUGAACGCUAGCUACAGGCUUAACACAUGCAAGUCGAGGGGCAGCAUCAUCAAAGCUUGCUUUGAUGGAUGGCGACCGGCGCACGGGUGAGUAACACGUAUCCAACCUGCCGACAACACUGGGAUAGCCUUUCGAAAGAAAGAUUAAUACCGGAUGGUAUAGUUUUCCCGCAUGGGAUAAUUAUUAAAGAAUUUCGGUUGUCGAUGGGGAUGCGUUCCAUUGGG
rnacentral:rRNA from 1 species